rnacentral:rRNA from 1 species
GAUGAACGCUAGCGGGAGGCCUAACACAUGCGAGCCGAGCGGUAGAGUUUCUUCGGAAACUUGAGAGCGGCGCACGGGUGCGUAACACGUGUGCAACCUACCUUUAUCUGGGGGAUAGCCUUUCGAAAGGAAGAUUAAUACCCCAUAAUAUAAUGAUUGGCAUCAAUUAUUAUUGAAAACUCCGGUGGAUAGAGAUGGGCACGCGCAAGAUUAGAUAGUUGGUGAGGUAACGGCUCACCAAGUCAAUGAUCUUUAGGGGUCCUGAGAGGGAGAUCCCCCAAACUGGUACUGAGACACGGACCAGACUCCUACGGGAGGCAGCAGUGAGGAAGAUUGGACAAUGGGUGAGAGCCUGAUCCAGCCAUCCCGCGUGAAGGAUGACGGUCCUAUGGAUUGUAAACUUCUUUUGGACAGGGAUAAACCUACCCUCGUGAGGGUAGCUGAAGGUACUGUACGAAUAAGCACCGGCUAACUCCGUG